AGAGUUUGAUCCUGGCUCAGGAUGAACGCUAGCGGCAGGCUUAACACAUGCAAGUCGAGGGGCAGCACGGGUAGCAAUACCUGGUGGCGACCGGCGCAAGGGUGCGUAACGCGUGAGCAACAUGCCCUAUACAGGGGGAUAAACCAGGGAAACUUGGACUAAUACCCCAUAGCAUUUAUUUAUGGCAUCAUGAAUAAAUUAAAGCUUCGGUGGUAUAGGAUUGGCUCGCGUGACAUUAGCUAGAUGGUGAGGUAACGGCUCACCAUGGCGAUGAUGUCUAGGGGUUCUGAGAGGAAGGCCCCCCACACUGGGACUGAGACACGGCCCAGACUCCUACGGGAGGCAGCAGUGAGGAAUAUUGGACAAUGGAUGGAAAUCUGAUCCAGCCAUGCCGCGUGCAGGAAGACGGCCCUAUGGGUUGUAAACUGCUUUUAUACGGGAGCAAUAAGGUCUACGUGUAGACUGAUGAGAGUACCGUAUGAAUAAGCAUCGGCUAACUCCGUGCCAGCAGCCGCGGUAAUACGGAGGAUGCGAGCGUUAUCCGGAUUUAUUGGGUUUAAAGGGUGCGUAGGCGGCCUUGUAAGUCAGCGGUGAAAUUUUGCAGCUUAACUGUAAAAGUGCCGUUGAUACUGUGAGGCUAGGAUUUGGUUGCUGUGGGUGGAAUGUGUGGUGUAGCGGUGAAAUGCUUAGAGAUCACACAGAAUAUCGAUUGCGAAGGCAGCUCACAAAGCCAAGAUUGACGCUGAGGCACGAAAGUGUGGGGAUCAAACAGGAUUAGAUACCCUGGUAGUCCACACUGUAAACGAUGAUAACUCGCUGUCGGCGAUAUACAGUCGGUGGCCAAGCGAAAGCGAUAAGUUAUCCACCUGGGGAGUACGACCGCAAGGUUGAAACUCAAAGGAAUUGACGGGGGCCCGCACAAGCGGAGGAACAUGUGGUUUAAUUCGAU
rnacentral:rRNA from 1 species